AGAGUUUGAUCCUGGCUCAGGAUGAACGCUAGCGACAGGCUUAACACAUGCAAGUCGAGGGGCAGCGAGGGCGUAGCAAUACGCCUGUCGGCGACCGGCGCACUGGUGAGUAACACGUAUGCGACCUGCCCCCUACAGGGGUAUAACCCGUAGAAAUGCGGACUAAUCCCCCAUAGUCCUGGGUGCUGCAUGGCAUUCAGGGGAAAGGCCAGCCGGUAGGGGAUGGGCAUGCGGCGCAUUAGCUAGUUGGCGGGGCAACGGCCCACCAAGGCGACGAUGCGUAGGGGUUCUGAGAGGAAGGUCCCCCACACUGGUACUGAGACACGGACCAGACUCCUACGGGAGGCAGCAGUGAGGAAUAUUGGUCAAUGGGCGCAGGCCUGAACCAGCCAAGUCGCGUGAGGGAAGACGGUCCUACGGAUUGUAAACCUCUUUUGUCGGGGAGUAACGUGCGGGACGCGUCCCGUAUUGAGAGUACCCGAAGAAAAAGCAUCGGCUAACUCCGUGCCAGCAGCCGCGGUAAUACGGAGGAUGCGAGCGUUAUCCGGAUUUAUUGGGUUUAAAGGGUGCGCAGGCGGCGCGCCAAGUCAGCGGUCAAAGUUCCGGGCUCAACCCGGUGUCGCCGUUGAAACUGGCGUGCUCGAGUGCGUGCGAGGAAGGCGGAAUGCGUUGUGUAGCGGUGAAAUGCAUAGAUAUGACGCAGAACUCCGAUUGCGAAGGCAGCUUUCCAGCGCGCUACUGACGCUGAGGCACGAAAGCGUGGGGAUCGAACAGGAUUAGAUACCCUGGUAGUCCACGCAGUAAACGAUGACUACUAGCUUUCCGGGAUGAUUGAGUCCUGGGAGGCACAGCGAAAGCGUUAAGUAGUCCACCUGGGGAGUACGCCGGCAACGGUGAAACUCAAAGGAAUUGACGGGGGCCCGCACAAGCGGAGGAACAUGUGGUUUAA
rnacentral:rRNA from 1 species